rnacentral:rRNA from 1 species
UACGAAGGGGGCUAGCGUUGCUCGGAAUUACUGGGCGUAAAGCGCGUGUAGGCGGCCAUGCAAGUCGGAUGUGAAAGCCCUCGGCUCAACCGGGGAAGUGCACUCGAAACUGCAAGGCUAGAGUCUCGGAGAGGAUCGUGGAAUUCUCGGUGUAGAGGUGAAAUUCGUAGAUAUCGAGAGGAACACCGGUGGCGAAGGCGGCGAUCUGGACGAUGACUGACGCUGAGACGCGAAAGCGUGGGGAGCAAACAGG